rnacentral:rRNA from 1 species
UACAGAGGUCUCAAGCGUUGUUCGGAUUUACUGGGCGUACAGGGAGCGUAGGCGGUUGGAUAAGCCCUCCGUGAAAUCUCCAGGCUUAACCUGGAAAGUGCAGAGGGGACUAUUCAGCUAGAGGACGGGAGAGGAGCGCGGAAUUCCCGGUGUAGCGGUGAAAUGCGUAGAGAUCGGGAGGAAGGCCGGUGGCGAAGGCGGCGCUCUGGAACAUUUCUGACGCUGAGGCUCGAAAGCGUGGGGAGCAAACAGG